GGGAAAUUAGCUCAGUGGUAGAGCAGUCGCUUUACACGCGAAUGGUCAGGUGCUCGAAUCACCUAUUUCUCA
rnacentral:tRNA from 2 species